rnacentral:tRNA from 22 species
GUGGCUGUAGCUCAGUUGGUAGAGCCCCGGAUUGUGAUUCCGGUUGUCGUGGGUUCAAGUCCCAUCAGCCACCCCA